rnacentral:sRNA from 1 species
GCCAGGUAUGGUUCCCUUAUUUUGGGAGGAGGGGCCUGGAGAUAUACACACUUUGGAUUCAGUAAUUUGUUUUGUUAUGGGUUACCGGAAUCAACCACCUAAUGGUUUCUUGAGAGACUAGUUUUAGAAGUUCGCAAGCACCUGCAUUUUAUGUUUCUCUUGUGGUUGUCAUCUAUGGGAUGGUGAAAAGCACAUUACAAGAAAGGAAUAAUUCUGCUCAUUGAAGACUGUUUCAAGGAUUUUAGAGACUGCCGUCUUGGAUGAGAUCUGAUCAUCAAAAGACAUUUCAGUUCAUAACUGACAUGGGCAUGAUUAUUCCUUGAGUCGGGUCGGCAGCAGUUCUGGUCGGAACCUGUGGGUCAGCGGGCUGUCCUCCACAACACGCGCUACGGAUCUCAAGAACCUUUUCAGCAAGUAUGGGAAGGUUGUCGGGGCCAAAGUGGUAACGAACGCCCGCAGCCCGGGGGCUCGAUGCUAUGGAUUCGUCACCAUGUCGACAUCUGACGAGGCGACCAAGUGCAUCAGCCAUCUCCACAGAACUGAGCUGCAUGGACGAAUGAUCUCCGUAGAGAAGGCCAAAAAUGAGCCUGCUGGGAAAAAGCUUUCCGACAGAAAAGAGUGCGAAGUGAAGAAGGAAAAAUUAUCGAGUGUCGACAGACAUCAUUCUGUGGAGAUCAAAAUUGAAAAAACUAUAAUUAAGAAGGAAGAGAAGAUUGAGAAGA